rnacentral:rRNA from 1 species
AACGACCGCUGGCGGCAGGCUUAACACAUGCAAGUCGAGCGCCCCGCAAGGGGAGCGGCAGACGGGUGAGUAACGCGUGGGAAUCUACCCAUCUCUACGGAAUAACGCAUGGAAACGUGUGCUAAUACCGUAUACGUCCUUCGGGAGAAAGAUUUAUCGGAGAUGGAUGAGCCCGCGUUGUAUUAGCUAGUUGGUGGGGUAAAGGCCUACCAAGGCGACGAUCCAUAGCUGGUCUGAGAGGAUGAUCAGCCACACUGGGACUGAGACACGGCCCAGACUCCUACGGGAGGCAGCAGUGGGGAAUAUUGGACAAUGGGCGCAAGCCUGAUCCAGCCAUGCCGCGUGAGUGAUGAAGGCCCUAGGGUUGUAAAGCUCUUUCACCGGUGAAGAUAAUGACGGUAACCGGAGAAGAAGCCCCGGCUAACUUCGUGCCAGCCGCCGCGGUAAAAC